AAAGUCGUAACAAGGUCUCCGUAGGUGAACCUGCGGAGGGAUCAUUAACAAAUGCUUUAAGCAUGAUAACUGUGAACUGUUUGAGUCUUCGGACUCUACCUUAUACAUACCAAACUGAUUUAUGAUAUGCAAAAACAUAAAACUUUUAGCAACGGAUCUCUAGGCUCUC
rnacentral:misc_RNA from 1 species